rnacentral:rRNA from 1 species
GACAGAGGGUGCAAACGUUGUUCGGAUUACUGGGCGUAAAGGGCGCGUAGGCGGCGCUGUAAGUCACUUGUGAAAUCUCUGAGCUUAACUCAGAACGGCCAAGUGAUACUGCAGUGCUAGAGUGCAGAAGGGGCAAUCGGAAUUCUUGGUGUAGCGGUGAAAUGCGUAGAUAUCAAGAGGAACACCUGAGGUGAAGACGGGUUGCUGGGCUGACACUGACGCUGAGGCGCGAAAGCCAGGGGAGCAAACGGG